GUGGGGAAUCUUGCGCAAUGGGCGAAAGCCUGACGCAGCCAUGCCGCGUGAAUGAUGAAGGUCUUAGGAUUGUAAAAUUCUUUCACCGGGGACGAUAAUGACGGUACCCGGAGAAGAAGCUCCGGCUAACUUCGUGCCAGCAGCCGCGGUAAUACGAAGGGGGCUAGCGUUGCUCGGAAUUACUGGGCGUAAAGGGCGCGUAGGCGGACAGCUUAGUCAGAGGUGAAAGCCCAGGGGUCGACCUUGGAAUUGCCUUUGAUACUGGCUGUCUUGAGUUUGGGAGAGGUGAGUGGAACUCCGAGUGUAGAGGUGAAAUUCGUAGAUAUUCGGAAGAACACCAGUGGCGAAGGCGACUCACUGGCCCAAUACUGACGCUGAGGCGCGAAAGCGUGGGGAGCAAACAGGAUUAGAUACCCUUGUAGUCC
rnacentral:rRNA from 1 species